rnacentral:tRNA from 1 species
ACGCUCGUGGCUCAAUUGGUAGAGUAGCGGACUCCAAAUCCGUUGGUUGGGGGUUCAAGUCCCUCCGGGCGUGCCA